rnacentral:rRNA from 1 species
GUUGUUCGGAAUUACUGGGCGUAAAGGGCUCGUAGGCGGCCAACUAAGUCAGACGUGAAAUCCCCAGGCUCAACCUGGGAACUGCGUCUGAUACUGGAUGGCUUGAAUCCGGGAGAGGGAUGCGGAAUUCCAGGUGUAGCGGUGAAAUGCGUAGAUAUCUGGAGGAACACCGGUGGCGAAGGCGGCAUCCUGGACCGGCAUUGACGCUGAGGAGCGAAAGCCAGGGGAGCAAACGGG